GGGUAGCUCAGUUGGUUAGAGUGUGGUGCUAUUAAUGCCAAGGUCACAGGUUCGAUCCUCGUAUGGGACA